GCGUUGUUCGGAUUUACCGGGCGUAAAGGGCGCSUWRRMRGCCACUGCAAGUCAGUUGUGAAAUCUCCGGGCUUAACCCGGAAAGGUCAACUGAUACUGCAGGGCUAGAGUGCGGAAGGGGCAACUGGAAUUCUCGGUGUAGCGGUGAAAUGCGUAGAUAUCGAGAGGAACACCUGCGGCGAAGGCGGGUUGCUGGGCUGACGCUGACGCUGAGGCGCGAAAGCCAGGGGAGCGAACGGGAUUAGAUACCCCGGUAGUCCUGGCCUUAAACGAUGAAUGCUUGGUGUCUGGGGUUUUAUAGUCCCCGGGUGCCGUCGCUAACGCUUUAAGCAUUCCGCCUGGGGAGUACGGUCRCAAGACUG
rnacentral:rRNA from 1 species